UCAUCACUAACCUCAGCUUGCUUCUUUCAAUCUGCAAUGGAAGCGAGAAUUAUCCACCAAAUUCAAAUCCCGAAGAACCCUAUUCGCAGAUUCUCUCGUCCUCCCUUCGAUUUCCCGCGAUUUAUCAGAGCUUCUUCUUCAACCUCGCAGGAUCCGAAAAGCUACAGAGGUCCGAAACCGAGCAAGAACUUGGUGGCGGAUUUCGUUUCCAGAAACGAUGACUCGGUACGGAGCUUGCCGAUCUACGUUGGAGGAGCUUCUCUCUUGGCCGUCCUCUUCAAUCGCGCUGUUUCCGGUAUCGCUCCUGUUGCCGAUGCUAGCAGCUCUCAGUCUAGAGCAGAUCUAUUGGCACUUGGCUUAGCCGUCACCAAUCUAUUGACCGGUUUAGUCUGGUUAUCGAUUCGACCAAAGUCCAUAACACCAGUACAACCUGAAGGUGUGGAAUGUAAAGUUGUAGAAUCUGAUCUUCCUGCAUCGAUUGUCUCUGAGUUAUUAUGGGCUUGGGUGUCUCUUAAGGCAGCAACAUGUUGUAAGUCUCUGGUUAUUGUCUACAAUGGAAUUUGCCUUAUUCAAAUCGGGAUGGUUGCUGAAUCUCCACAAGAUAAGAAAGCAAUCAUAGUAAACACUGAUAAGCUCAUGCAAGGAUCGGUUUACCAAGGCGUAAUGAAAUCCAAAGCACAAAGUUACUUGGCCAAUCUUUCUCUUUAUCCGGGGAGAUCAGAGCUGCCAUUUUUGCCUGCAAAUACACAGGCAGUGAUUUUGCAGCCACUUGGUGAUAAAGGAAUCGCAGUUAUUGGCGGAAACACAAUCAGAGGCUUCACAUCUUCAGACCAGGCAUGGAUUUCUUCAAUUGGGGAGAAGCUAGAUGCAACUUUGGGAAGAUAUUUCAUUGAUGUCGCUUAGAAUUUCACGAGAAGGAGAUCGAAACAAGCAGAGACCGGGGAAUCAUCUAGCGGAAACACAUUACAAGCAUCGAUCGAUAAAGGUAUAAUCAGCAUUUCAGUUCUGUAGACAGGCGUUUCGUUUGUGGUUUCCUCCAUUCUGUUGUGUUAUGGUGCGAGUGACUAUCAAAUCAGUGGAGAUUACGCUUAGGUUCGUCUCAAGACCACGCACUCGUCUCUCCAGAGACUGCAUCCCGUUCUGCGAGCUCUCCAUCAACCUUUGAAAGAGAUCAAACAGAUUAGACUGUUGCUUUUCAAUAAGACUAAUUUGGUUUCUUAUCAAAGACAACUCUUCUGCAUUCUUCCUCUGUGAAGAAGAACUUCUUGCUUCAAGAUUCUCUUCGUCACUACUCUGAGCAUCACGCGGCUUUGGCUUUGGCUUUGCUGGGAAGAGAACCCUUU